AUUGAACGCUGGCGGCACGCCUAACACAUGCAAGUCUAACGAGUGGCGGACGGGUGAGUAUUGUCUGGGACACUGCCUGAUGGAGGGGGAUAACUACUGGAAACGGUAGCUAAUACCGCAUACCAUCGGAUGUGCCCAGAUGGGAUUAGCUAGUAGGUGGGGUAACGGCUCACCUAGGCGACGAUCCCUAGCUGGUCUGAGAGGAGGACAAGCCACACUGGAACUGAGACACGGUCCAGGCUCCGACGGUAGGAACCAGUGGCGAAUAUUGCACAAUGGGCGCAAGCCUGAUGCAGCCAUGCCGCGUGUAUGAAGAAGGCCGUCGGGUUGUAAAGUACUUUCAGCGGGGAGGCGUUACCCGCAGAAGAAGCACCGGCUAACUCCGUGCCAGCAGCCGCGGUAAUUC
rnacentral:rRNA from 1 species